rnacentral:misc_RNA from 1 species
GAUGAAGAACGUAGCGAAAUGCGAUAAGUAAUGUGAAUUGCAGAAUUCAGUGAAUCAUCGAAUCUUUGAACGCACAUUGCGCCCCUUGGUAUUCCGAGGGGCAUGCCUGUUCGAGCGUCAUUAUAACCCCUCAAGCUCAGCUUGGUGUUGGGGCCUGCUGCACUGGCAGCCCUUAAAAUCAGUGGCGGCGCCAUCUGGCUCUAAGCGUAGUAAUUCUUAUCGCUAUGGAGUCCUGGUGGAUGCUUGCCAUCAACCCCCAAUUUUUCUAUGGUUGACCUCGGAUCAGGUAGGGAUACCCGCUGAACUUAAGCAUAUCAAUAAGCGGAGGA